GUGCGUGUGUGUGCGUGUGUGCGCGAGUGCGUGUGUGUGCGUGUCUGGGAGUUUGAUCAGCCGAGUUCAGCUCCACUAAUCUGUUGGCUUUACCUGAACUAGAGUCAGAAGACAAACAGGGUGAAUGAAUGUGGUUGCGGCCAAAUGAAGCCGGUUCUGAACGUGUUUCAUUGGUCUGCUUCAACUUCACCAGUGAUAAAUGGAGGCUUAGAGACUUGGACGGGUUUUUUUCGCUCUGAACUGUGGAAUCACAAAGAGCCACACAUGAUGAGCAGCUGAACAGAGAAGUGUCGAUGUGCAGACGUGGGCAAACCCAAGAUAAAUAAAUGGCAUUGUGCUGU